GUCGUCCUUAACUUCCUUAACUUUUCCCAUUCAUUCUCUAUGGUAGUUCUUAUCACUACGGAUGUAAUAUUUUUCCGGCCACAAGCGGGAUUUUGGUGGCGCCGUUUCCCCCCUCGGCAGAAGUAAGGAGAUGAUUUAUUUUCUGAGUGAAAGACAGCAUCGAACGUUCUCGGGCGUUGAACGUUCUGGAAGAGUUGACAAUUAUUUUCAUCCGUGGACAAGUUAACUUUUCGCCAGGAGACACCAAGUUAACAACAAGUUAGCUUUUCAAUUGUAAGUUGGACCUAUUGUUUUUAACUCGUAUAUUCACUUUUAUACGUAACGUUAUAUGUUACAACAGCUUCUAAAUAAUAUUACUGUGUAGGCCUACACACUGUAAGAGCCAUCUGUCAGGUCAGCGUCACACUGAAAUAUCUUUAUCUAUAUAUUUAUAAAUACAAAUACCCCUCAUUAAUCGAUACUCUCUGACUACUAUCUGAAGGGGGAUUAGUAUUGUCUCAGUUAAGAGUUGGGAAACUGAAUUUACGUGGGUUAAACCCACUAGACUCAUUACAAAUGCUCAUUAAUGUUGAUAUGAAUAAUGCUGUUAAUAUAACAGUAUUAUUAUUUAGCUUUAAUUAUUACUACAUUACAAUAUAUCUUAUACUAGCUACUCUUACUGUAUAAUCAUAUACAACUAUGUAAUAUGAAUUAUUUUUUGCAGUGAAAAGAAAUCAUGAAUCCCAUCAGCUUCUUCCCCGGAAAGAUGACGGUGACAUUUAGGAAGGGACCAUCGGGUCAUCUGCGGCAGGACCCAUCCUCUGAGGCCAUGAGGAUAAAACAUAAUCCUGGGCUUCAGGUCAAUAGUCCCGCUGAGAAACAUGAGCUAGUGAAGACCAGCGCUCGCACUGUGGUCAUCCAGCGAGGAGGGGAUGUGUCGGACCGACAGGAGGUGAUGGGAGAGUACCUGCUGCAGUUCGGCAAGUACCAGGGAAAAUCGUUCAAGUGGCUCCUAGAGAACGAUGUUGGCUACACCAUCUACCUGAUGAAAAAGGUAGACGAUGAGGAGAGAGCCGGGACCUUCAACCCACAGGGACACAGUAAGGACAGCCUGCUGUCUUUUCUGGACUAUGCCAGGAGCUUCCAGGAAAUACAGGACCUGAGGAACUACCUGAUCUCCAGGACGCCUACUGAACCAGUGGCGUCAGAGGGGGACAAUAUUGUCGGCUUUGGUCGCAGGGCCAAAACCACCUGGAGGCAGAUCUGGGAGAGCAGGGCAGAUGGUUAUGCUGCCUACAUCUCACGCCAAAAGUGCAUCAAAAACAGCAAGAUGUACAACCUGCAGCAGUACAUCCUCAAGCAGGAAAGGGCUGACUCCUGUCCAACACCUGCAGAAGGCUCCACCACAUCUCUUGCCUCCACCCCAACAUCAGGCACUCUAGAAGGCUCCAUCACAUCUACUGCCUCCACCACAUCUACUGCCUCCACCCCAACAUCAGGCACUCUAGGUCAGUUCACAACAAUAUUCAAAUACUGACUUCAUGAUCUUUUAAUGUACCUAAAACACAAUGAAUGUAUGGUUUAAUGGAGGAGGAUGAGGAACUGGAGAGACAGAUGUUGAACCUGUCUCAAUCUUUAUUUGACAACGGACUAAGUAGGUGGAUCAUAAAAGGUUAAACCGUAACUCUUCCUGUACUUGAUCAAAUGUCCCCUGUGCUUUCAGGCCCACCAGCAGCAGUCCAGGGAAGAGCAGCUGUGGAUCCAACAAAAGGUUUUUCUUCAUUAGUGGAUGAUGGUAAGUGUUUUGUGUUAUAUGCAUGCUUCGUUUAAGCUGUCGUUCAAGGAUUUGGCGUGUGAAAUACCACAGAGGCUUAGAUACAGGUUCACAUGCUGCUAGACCUGCAGAACCGGAUGACCCCACUGUGACUGCUGCGAAAGCCACAGCGAAGGCCCUGUUGCCGGUCCCUGCCCAGCUGCUCGCCAUUGCCCCAGAGCUCGGGAUAAGAGAGCAGGAGCCCGAUGUGGUGAAACAAAAAACAUCAUCCCUACAGAGUAUUGCCCCUGUUGAAGCACAGGGAGACACUGUCCAUGAUGAAGCUCCACCAUGUCCUGCGCCUCCUGUCAGGCAGCCAGCAGCCCCAGGCUACAAUCAGGAUGUUGCACAGUGGAACUGCUCCCAUCAGCAGCAGAUCUGGAUGAAGACUGAGCUUGAGACAUUGGGUCUGUGGCCAGGGUCACGUCCAGUACGUCACCCAAUGAACAUGAUUACCCUGUGGCGCUAUCCACCUCAGCCUGAGCUCAUACACAAUAUUGCUCCACUGCCUUCGCCCAAAUAUUUUCAGCUCCACCCAUUCUUAAUUUGGAAGCCGGAGCAUGCAAUCAUGGAGAGGGUGAGGAACAAUUUUGUCCUGCCCUGCCUUCAUGGUUGUCCAAACCCUCAGGUAGCUUCUUCUGAUGUUGGACGGCCCAGAGUGAUCAUCGGCACCAGUGGUCAGUACUAUUGAGGGGAAAAACGGUCUGUCUAGUUACUGGACCAGAUACAAUGAGUCGGAGAGGUAAUAAAGUCUGUCGGCACGAGGACCUUGGAUUUAUUAAGUAAAGUGGC
ensembl:lncRNA